rnacentral:lncRNA from 1 species
CAUAAUAAAAUUAUAACAACUAAGCAAAAGAAGAAGAAAAAGAAAAGAAGAUGGAGAAGAAGGUGAGGGGCAGCAAGAGAGGAAAUGAGAGUGAGAGGUAGAAUAUGAUUCUCCAAGUUGAAUGCUAUGAGCCUUUAUAUAGGCACAAAAAGAUAAAAUUUAAAAUAAAAUCUAUUAUCCCUAUCUUAUCUCUAUCCUCAUCUUAUCUCCAUCUUAAUAUGAUCUUUAUCCUCAUCUGAUUGAGUUUGAUUCAAUUUGACUCCACUUGAAACUGAUCUUAUCCUUGCUUAGGUGGAUAAAUCUAU